AACGACUACUUUUUUCACUAUAAAAACAACUCUUUUCCAUGCAGAAACACAAUCAAUCACUUCUUCUUCAUCUUUCCUCAAAAAUAAAAACAUUUUCUCCAAUUUGUUCUUCUUUAAUAAUUUGGAGAAAAAAAGUCUUAGCUAAGACUGAACAUUAUCCGGUGAAGAAUGGCGACUCCGGCAUGGAGUCAUGCCAAGGCUCAAUGGGUAGUCGCCAUGUUGGCGUUACUCGUUGGCUCGGCUAUGGCUACCGAACCUUAUUACUAUAGCUCUCCUCCACCACCGUAUGAGUAUAAAUCUCCACCUCCUCCGGUUAAAUCUCCUCCACCGCCUUAUGAAUAUAAAUCACCACCACCUCCGGUUAAGUCUCCUCCACCACCGUAUUACUAUCAUUCACCGCCGCCGCCAGUGAAAUCCCCUCCCCCUCCUUAUGUUUACAGCUCUCCUCCUCCUCCGGUGAAGUCCCCUCCUCCCCCAUACUACUACCAUUCACCGCCUCCUCCGGUGAAGUCUCCUCCUCCUCCAUACUACUACCAUUCACCACCUCCUCCGGUGAAAUCCCCACCACCACCAUAUUACUACCAUUCACCACCUCCUCCGGUGAAAUCCCCACCACCACCAUACUACUACCAUUCACCUCCUCCUCCUGUGAAAUCUCCUCCUCCUCCAUAUUAUUACCACUCCCCACCUCCUCCGGUGAAAUCCCCACCACCACCAUACCUUUACAGCUCUCCACCACCACCGGUAAAAUCUCCCCCACCUCCUGUCUACAUCUACGCUUCUCCCCCACCUCCCACACAUUACUAGGCUCAUCAAAUUCAACAAAAUUUCCCCAUUAUUCAAGUAAGUCCUAUACUUAUACCUUUACCUCAUAAUCCGUUUUAAUAAUUGUGCCCUAAAUAAAAUCGGAAUUUCUUCUUUCACAGGUUU
rnacentral:lncRNA from 1 species